ensembl:lncRNA
GUGAGGAGGAGUGAGGAGGUGUGAGGACAAACUUCACCUGAGUCUGUGUCUAAAACUGUUUAACUCAUAAUAAACAUAGACUGAACCUGUUAAACUGGUUCACUUUGGUAAAUCCGACUUUAGAGACACACCUUUUAUAAUGAACUUCAGGCUGCACUGAUUUAAGACACAGGACGACACUGAUAAAGUUUCAUUUCACUUGUGACAGAUUCAAACUCCAGACGACGUUUGUCCUUGAGGGGGCGCUGUAAACAACACACAUGUCUGCAUCCCUGAGCAAACCCAGUCCAGAUGAGACCAGCAAAAGGAGAUGGAGCAAAGACUUUCCUCCUGUUUCUGCACUGAAACAGUCCAAUGAUUAUGAACUUUAUCAGUCAAUCAUUGAUUUCCUAAGACUCUAUGAAGAUAAAAAAGACCUGCGUCGUUUUAUCAAGGAGCUACAGGAAAUACCACAACAAAGAGAAAAACUUGAGACGAAGAAAAGAACAGGGCUGAUUGUGUCAACAGCUACUUUAGCUGCUGGAGCAGGUUUAGCUUUAGCCUCUUCCCGGCUCACAGAAGAACUGAGUUUAGCUGCAAUGGCAGUAGGAGCAGCCGCUGGUGUCAGUGGAGUUGCUGCUGGUAUUGGAGUAAAUUCAAACUUCAAAAGAAAAAUUGAAAAUGAACAAAAGAAAAAGCAGGAGGCAGAAGCAGAGUUGAUAAACACACUGAAGGAACUGGAGACACGACUGAACAAUGUGCAGACCGUCUGUAAAGAGCUGAGAGAGAGCGAGAGAGAUGUAAACGAGAGAGAACAACUGCACAAACUGGAGAAGAAAAUCCAAAAGUUCAAAGAUCACACUGUCUCCCUCCAACGAAUGUGUGCCAAACAGGAGGAGUCAGUGUCACAGAUUAUAGACGAG